rnacentral:misc_RNA from 1 species
GAUGCUGAUGGCUGGUCCGAGGAAGAAGCUGGGAAACAAGUCCAGAAAGGGCGUGGGGGGAGGAUCUUCUAGAAGUUUAAGGUCAAAGACUCAGACUUCCCGCCCUGUUUGAAGUGCUUAAUUGUGUGGUUGAAGGCUGGUGUUGGGCGGUUGGGCAGUCCUGCUGUAGAGUGAGUGACCCGUAGACUGGGGAGCAGCCCCCACUGCUGGAACUGGCUCUAGUCCUUUGGAGUCACCGCCUUCCCCCAGUUACCCUGGGAAAAAGCCACUGGCUGACAGCUUUGCUCAGCGACUGUCCUCCCCACCCUCAGCUUGCUAUGGCAUCGUUCAGGUGCCAACGGGACCCUGGUUCUGCCGGAAAUGUGAAUCUCAGGAGCGAGCAGCCAGGGUGAGGUGUGAGCUGUGCCCACACAAAGACGGGGCAUUGAAGAGGACUGAUAAUGGAGGCUGGGCACACGUGGUGUGUGCCCUCUACAUCCCCGA